AAACCUUACUAGGGUAAGACAUUGAUGUGAUUGACAGACUACUUGAUCUUUCUUGAUUUGGUGGGUGGUGGUGCAUGGCCGAUCUUAGUUGGUGGGGUGACCCGUCUGGUUAAUUUCGAUAACGAACGAGAUCCGAGCUGUUUAGUUGGCGUGCGGUGUAUUACACCGGUACGUUUCCUAUAUGGACUGUCAGUUGAAAACUGAAGGAAGUUUCGGGCGAAAU
rnacentral:rRNA from 1 species